rnacentral:rRNA from 1 species
AGAGUUUGAUCAUGGCUCAGAUUGAACGCUGGCGGCAGGCCUAACACAUGCAAGUCGAGCGGAAACGGCAGUAUUGAAGCUUCGGUGGAUUUACUGGACGUCGAGCGGCGGACGGGUGAGUAACGGCUGGGAACCUGCCCUGACGAGGGGGAUAACCGUUGGAAACGACGGCUAAUACCGCAUAAUGUCUUNANUUCNNUUANGAGYYNNGGACCAAAGGUGGCCUCUACAUGUAAGCUAUCGCGUUGGGAUGGGCCCAGUUAGGAUUAGCUAGUUGGUAAGGUAAUGGCUUACCAAGGCAACGAUCCUUAGCUGGUUUGAGAGGAUGAUCAGCCACACUGGGACUGAGACACGGCCCAGACUCCUACGGGAGGCAGCAGUGGGGAAUAUUGCACAAUGGGGGAGACCCUGAUGCAGCCAUGCCGCGUGUGUGAAGAAGGCCUUCGGGUUGUAAAGCACUUUCAGCAGUGAGGAAGGUCGUGUACUUAAUACGUGCACGGCUUGACGUUAGCUGCAGAAGAAGCACCGGCUAACUCCGUGCCAGCAGCCGCGGUAAUACGGAGGGUGCGAGCGUUAAUCGGAAUUACUGGGCGUAAAGCGCAUGCAGGCGGUUUGUUAAGUCAGAUGUGAAAGCCCGGGGCUCAACCUCGGAACCGCAUUUGAAACUGGCAGGCUAGAGUCUUGUAGAGGGGGGUAGAAUUUCAGGUGUAGCGGUGAAAUGCGUAGAGAUCUGAAGGAAUACCAGUGGCGAAGGCGGCCCCCUGGACAAAGACUGACGCUCAGAUGCGAAAGCGUGGGUAGCAAACAGGAUUAGAUACCCUGGUAGUCCACGCCGUAAACGCUGUCUACUUGGAGGUUGAGGUUUUAGACUUUGGCUUUCGGCGCUAACGCAUUAAGUAGACCGCCUGGGGAGUACGGCCGCAAGGUUAAAACUCAAAUGAAUUGACGGGGGCCCGCACAAGCGGUGGAGCAUGUGGUUUAAUUCGAUGCAACGCGAAGAACCUUACCUACUCUUGACAUCCAGCGAAGCCUUUAGAGAUAGAGGYGUGCCUUCGGGAGCGCUGAGACAGGUGCUGCAUGGCUGUCGUCAGCUCGUGUUGUGAAAUGUUGGGUUAAGUCCCGCAACGAGCGCAACCCUUAUCCUUGUUUGCCAGCACNNUAAUGGUGGGAACUCCAGGGAGACUGCCGGUGAUAAACCGGAGGAAGGUGGGGACGACGUCAAGUCAUCAUGGCCCUUACGAGUAGGGCUACACACGUGCUACAAUGGCAGAUACAGAGGGCAGCGAGACAGCGAUGUUUAGCGAAUCCCUUAAAGUUUGUCGUAGUCCGGAUUGGAGUCUGCAACUCGACUCCAUGAAGUCGGAAUCGCUAGUAAUCGUGGAUCAGAAUGCCACGGUGAAUACGUUCCCGGGCCUUGUACACACCGCCCGUCACACCAUGGGAGUGGGCUGCACCAGAAGUAGAUAGCUUAACCUUCGGGAGGGCGUUUACCACGGUGUGGUUCAUGACUGGGGUGAAGUCGUAACAAGGUAGCCCUAGGGGAACCUGGGGCUG